ACACACUGAUGAGCAACCAGAUAGGGACAACUGACUCGCCAUGGAGAGGAACAUCUAAUCUAACAAGGUCUUAGUAGAACUCUUGGUUUCUGAGU
rfam:Pichia kudriavzevii strain SD108 scaffold00060, whole genome shotgun sequence.